UCUGACAACUGGUAGCUUUACGAAAAAUUUCACGUCUUUGAUGUCAGACAUAAACUGAACAUUUUGACAUACGAGUACGCUAUUUGUGUUGUUUCCAAUGACUUAAAAUAUUCAUCUCGGCAAAGAACUUAACUUCACUUUUGGCAAUGAAGCACCAUCAGUAAUCAGUGUUUAUCAAUGAAUGAAUUCAAAUGAAGAAGAGUUGUUAUUCCGUAAGCAAUUGAUGCUGUGCGCAAACUGAUAUUGCCAGAUAGCAUUAGUGAGACCGGUAUAAAUUUCAUAUUUGCAGAGGCAUUUGGCUGUAAAAAAAAUUGUUUUUUAUCAAUGGCUCAAAACGAAAGCUUGAUCGAGAGAAACGCUAAAAAUCAGAAUAGUUGUCUGUCCCAGAAUGCCACCUUAUAUUUAAGUGAUGUCUCAGUACGCCACCUUAUAUUUGAAUUAUGAAAACUAUUUGAACCAGUCUGGCCAUAUUGUAAACUUGCCGCUAUGUGUUUUUCCCCUUAUUAUUCUUUUCGUUUUGUACUAAGGCGAAUCCGCCCGCCGUAUUUAAGUCGUUCGUUUUUAAAUAAGUUCAUUCGUUAAUGGACUACCGAAAAGGCACAGAGCGAAAUAAACCACACCCAAACUCGUUAUUGAAUCCGGUAUCAACUACACUGUCCUUCCAAGUGAGUCUAUGAGGCUGUGCUUUCCUUUAUGGUUCCAAUGACAUAGUAACAGCUUAUCAAUCGUGGAUUUACGCGUAUGAGUCCGAAAGUAAACAGCAGUCGACUGGCAUGGAUGUUUGAAGUUGUUAACACUUCUAAGCAAAUGAUUGCCCUUUUUUUUGGGAAAAACUGGCUCCAACUAACGCAGAAAAGUAAAUUCUGAUUGGUGCACAACCUUUUGCUUGCCAGUUGUAUUUCGUCUUUCAAGAGAACAGGAAAACCAAUUGCCGAAGACGGAUCACUCAUCAACACGACACUGCGAGCACUCACAUAUCGGCUGAAACAAUUGCAGUUUUGAGUACUGUAAACAUCGAUUUGAUGAGUCAUCCACCGUAUAUUCCUGACUUGGUGCCGAAUGACUUAAUUUUAUUCCCGCAAUUUAAAAAUAAAUUGAGUGGUCUACAUUUUUCGACACCCGAAGAGGCGAUUGCGUUCGGAUAUCUCAGUUGGAGUGGCAAAAAAGCUUCGACUUAGUGUUCUUGGUUUAAUAUUGUAUAAUUUGUUCACCGCAGACAUUCCUACACGUGACGAAGUAAUCAGAUCAACUUUUGAUAUAUUAAGUCGACAUAAAUGCCCCAUUACAGCCACAAAAGUUUUAGAGCAGCACUUUAAACUAAUUGAAGAAUGGCUAGCAAAAUGGCGUAUAAAAGUUAAGAAAAUAAGUUCAGACACAUCAUUUUUACUUCUACUUUUACUUUAGACUUAGUAUAUAGACUUAGUCCCGCAGGUCCGCAAGAUCAAGAAGUUAGUAUAGAAAAGGGGAGAGCGAGGCGCGCCAAGCGGUAAAUUCUCACGAACAAAAACUUUAAUCACCUUUUUCUCGAAGCCACGUUUAUUCAAUCAGAUGACAUUCCGAUUUAGAACCAAUUGAACUUAUCAACAUGAACUACACUGUAUUUUAUUCCUAAAAUGCCUCUCUAUGGUUAGUACUACAACCCGAAAUAUUCAUUGUCAUUUAAAAAAUUUAUAAACACUUAAAAUUAGAAAAAAGGUUAAAAAAAUUAAAAAGUCCGUCAUUUUUUUUGUGCUGAAAAUGUUUCAUCGUAGCUACGGUCAUAGCCGAUAUGAUACAAAAUAAAAAACCGUUUUGGUUUUAGGUUUCAGAUGAUUCGUUUUACAGUUAUCAUGUCACUCACCAACUAAAGAGACGUGUUUCAGAGCAGCAAUUUUAAGAGCCCCCAUUUAAAAAAUAAAAUAAAAUUCAAUCAAUAUUUUUUACGUCUACUUAUCAUGAUCAUAAACUUUGAUUUAAAAAU